rnacentral:rRNA from 1 species
CUACGGGCCGCUGCAGUGGGGAAUAUUGCACAAUGGGCGCAAGCCUGAUGCAGCCAUGCCGCGUGUAUGAAGAAGGCCUUCGGGUUGUAAAGUACUUUCAGCGGGGAGGAAGGGAGUAAAGUUAAUACCUUUGCUCAUUGACGUUACCCGCAGAAGAAGCACCGGCUAACUCCGUGCCAGCAGCCGCGGUAAUACGGAGGGUGCAAGCGUUAAUCGGAAUUACUGGGCGUAAAGCGCACGCAGGCGGUUUGUUAAGUCAGAUGUGAAAUCCCCGGGCUCAACCUGGGAACUGCCUCUGAUACUGGCAAGCUUGAGUCUCGUAGAGGGGGGUAGAAUUCCAGGUGUAGCGGUGAGAUGCGUAGAGAUCUGGAGGAAUACCGGUGGCGAAGGCGGCCCACUAGACGAAGACUGACGCUCAGGUGCGAAAGCGUGGGGAGCAAACAGGAUUAGAUACCCUCGUAGUC